GACGUAGGGGGCCAGCGUUGCUCGGAAUUACUGGGUGUAAAGGGUUCGUAGGCGGUGUGGCAAGUCGGGAGUGAAAUCUUGGAGCUUAACUCCGAAACUGCAUUCGAUACUGCCGUGCUUGAGGACUGGAGAGGAGACUGGAAUUUACGGUGUAGCGGUGAAAUGCGUAGAUAUCGUAAGGAAGACCAGUGGCGAAGGCGGGUCUCUGGACAGUUCCUGACGCUGAGGCACGAAGGCCAGGGGAGCAAACGGG
rnacentral:rRNA from 1 species